AUGGACGCGGACAUGGUCGUAGGAUACUUCGGCGGCAAGAGCAUCCUCAUCACCGGCUCAACUGGGUUCUUAGGAAAAGUUCUCGUGGAGAAGAUACUCAGGGUGCAGCCUGAUGUCAAGAAGCUCUUCCUCUUGGUUCGCGCCCCCGACGUCGAAUCCGCAAAGCUUCGGAUUCAGACUGAGGUCACAGGGAGGGAGAUCUUUCUAGUUCUGAAAGAAAAACAUGGUAUGGGGUUCGACGAUUUCAUCGAAGAAAAGAUAUGCCCUUUGGCAGGAGACAUCAUGUAUGAGAACUUUGGACUAGACACUGCCAACCUGAGAGAAUUGUCCAAGGACAUAGACAUCAUCGUCAACAUAGCUGCGAUUACAAACUUCUCUGAAAGAUACGACGUGGCUUUCGAUGCUAACGUGUUGGGAGCGAAGCACGUGUGCGCAUUCGCAAGGAAGUGUACGAAACUCAAGAUGCUGCUUCAUGUUUCAACUGCCUAUGUAGCUGGUGAACAAGAGGGGCUAAUACUAGAGAAGCCAUUCUUGAUGGGUGAGACACUAAGGGAGGGCACACAUUUGGACAUCGAAUCCGAGUUAACUCUGAUCAGAGAGACCAGGCGAGAGUUGAAGGACAACUGUUCUUCGGAGAAGGCUGAGAGGAGAACCAUGAAGGAGCUUGGCCUCAAGAGGGCUCGGCAGUUUGGGUGGCCAAACACCUAUGUCUUCACCAAGGCAAUGGGGGAGAUGCUGCUGGGGCAUCUGCCAGGGGAGCUUCCCGUGGUCAUCCUCCGGCCGAGCAUCAUAACCAGCAUCCUCAAGGAGCCAUUACCUGGAUGGAUGGAAGGAAUCAGGACAGACGAUCACGCGGUGGUCAUCGGCUACGCCAAGCAGACCUUGCCAUUCUUCCUAGUCGACCUCAGCUUGAUAAUGGACGUGAUUCCUGGGGACAUGGUGGUGAACGCUAUGAUGGUGGCCAUGGCGGCCCACUCGGAGGAGCGGGCGCAGACCAUCUACCACGUGACGUCGUCGCUGCGCAACCCGGCGCCCUACGCGAUCCUGGCGGAUACGGGGCACCGCUACUUCUACGACAAUCCGCCGCGCACGGGGAGGAACGGCGAGCCCGCCCGGCUCAACAAGAUGCGCUUCUUCAGCACGGUGGCGCGGCUGAGCCUGUACAUGGCCGUCAGGUACAGGCUCCCGCUCGAGAUGCUUCGGCUGGUGAACAUUGCGCUCUGCGGCUUCUUCUCGCAGCGCUACGACGACCUCAGCAGGAAGUACAGGUUCAUCGUGCAGCUCAUCGAGCUCUACGCGCCCUACAGCUUGUUCAAAGGCUGCUUUGAUGACAUGAACACGGAGAGGCUAAGGAUGGCGAUGAAGAAGGAGCAACAUAGCAACAUUGCAGAAGAAUUCUACUUUGAUUUCGAUCCCAAGUCCAUCGACUGGGACAGCUAUUUCUAUGGUGUUCACAUCCCCGGUGUGCUCAAGUACAUGCGUGAUUGA
rnacentral:rRNA from 1 species